rnacentral:rRNA from 1 species
UACGGAGGGUGCAAACGUUGCUCGAAAUCAUUGGGCGUAAAGCGCACGUAGGCGGACCAUCAAGUCGGUUGUGAAAUCCCUCGGCUUAACCGAGGACGUGCAUUCGAAACUGAUGGCCUUGAGUACGAAAGAGGAUCGCGGAAUUCCCGGUGUAGAGGUGAAAUUCGUAGAUAUCGGGAGGAACACCAGUGGCGAAGGCGGCGAUCUGGGUCGAUACUGACGCUGAGGUGCGAAAGCGUGGGGAGCAAACAGG